rnacentral:rRNA from 1 species
UACGUAGGGUGCGAGCGUUGUCCGGAAUUAUUGGGCGUAAAGAGCUUGUAGGCGGUUUGUCGCGUCUGCUGUGAAAUUUCGGGGCUCAACCCCGAACUUGCAGUGGGUACGGGCAGACUAGAGUGUGGUAGGGGAGACUGGAAUUCCUGGUGUAGCGGUGAAAUGCGCAGAUAUCAGGAGGAACACCGAUGGCGAAGGCAGGUCUCUGGGCCAGUAACUGACGCUGAGAAGCGAAAAGCAUGGGGAGCGAACAGG